ACGUGGAGCUGGUUGUGAUUCCCACCAUGGCCUGGGCCCUGCUCCUUCUCGCUCUGCUCACAUACUGCUCAGGUUUGUUUGCCCAGAAUGUGGUGACGCAGCCACCCUCAGUGUCUGUGUCUCCAGGACAAACUGCUCGGCUCACCUGCUCUGGGACUGGCAGCUAUGUCCACUGGUACCAGCAGAAACCUGGCAGUGCUCCCCUACGCAUUAUAUAUGAUGAUACUAAGAGACCCUCCGGCAUCUCUGACCGAUUCUCUGGCUCCAAAUCUGGAAACACGGCCACGCUGACCAUCACUGGAGUCCAGGCCCAGGACGAGGCUGACUACUACUGCAGCAUGUGGGUUAGCAGCAGUUCUCAGCCACACGGUGACACAGUGCAAUGAAGA